rnacentral:ncRNA from 1 species
UUUCCGAUUGAUCUUGUCGGUGGCUUUCCUUUAUCUUGAAGAUUAAGCCAUGCAUGUCUAAGUAUGAACUGGUUUAAGGUGAAACUGCGUACGGCUCAUUACAUCAGCUAUAACUUUCUUUGAUCAUAAAUUCUAAAUGGAAUAACCGAGGAAAAGCCUGGGCUAAUACAUGCGACAAUUCCGGUAGUAAUAUCGGAAUGCUUUUAUUAGAUCAAAACCUUCUAGUUCUUUAAACGGAACUGUUUGUUGGUGACUCUAAAUAACUUUGUGUUGAUCGUAUGACCUUUGUGUCGACGACAUAUCUUUCAAGUGUCUGACUUAUCAACUUUAGACGGUACAUUAUAUGUCUACCGUGGUUGUAACGAGUACAGAGAAUCAGGGUUUGGUUCUGGAGAGGCCGCCUGAGAAACGGCGACCACUUCCAAGGAAGGCAGCAGGCGCGCAAAUUA